UACGAAGGGGGCUAGCGUUGUUCGGAUUUACUGGGCGUAAAGCGCACGUAGGCGGUUUGUUAAGUCAGGGGUGAAAUCCUGGAGCUCAACUCCAGAACUGCCUUUGAUACUGGCAAUCUAGAGUCCGGAAGAGGUGAGUGGAACUCCUAGUGUAGAGGUGGAAUUCGUAGAUAUUAGGAAGAACACCAGUGGCGAAGGCGGCUCACUGGGCCGGUACUGACGCUGAGGUGCGAAAGCGUGGGGAGCAAACAGG
rnacentral:rRNA from 1 species